GACGAACCGAGCGAACGUUGUUCGGAAUCACUGGGCUUAAAGGGCGCGUAGGCGGGCUGUCAAGUUUGGGGUGAAAUCCCGCGGCUCAACCGUGGAACUGCCUCAAAUACUGACGGUCUCGAGGGGGAUAGGGGCGAGCGGAACUAAUGGUGGAGCGGUGAAAUGCGUUGAUAUCAUUAGGAACUCCGGUGGCGAAGGCGGCUCGCUGGAUCUCUUCUGACGCUGAGGCGCGAAAGCUAGGGGAGCAAACGGG
rnacentral:rRNA from 1 species